rnacentral:rRNA from 1 species
UACGUAGGGUGCAAGCGUUGUCCGGAAUUAUUGGGCGUAAAGAGCUUGUAGGCGGUUUGUCGCGUCUGCUGUGAAAUUUCGGGGCUCAACCCCGAACUUGCAGUGGGUACGGGCAGACUAGAGUGUGGUAGGGGAGACUGGAAUUCCUGGUGUAGCGGUGGAAUGCGCAGAUAUCAGGAGGAACACCGGUGGCGAAGGCGGGUCUCUGGGCAGUAACUGACGCUGAGGAGCGAAAGCGUGGGGAGCGAGCAGG